CGGAGGGUCCAAGCGUUAUCCGGAAUCAUUGGGUUUAAAGGGUGCGCAGGCGGUAAAGUAAGUCAGUGGUGAAAUCCCUUCGCUCAACGAAGGAACUGCCAUUGAUACUGCUAUACUUGAAUACAGUUGGAGUAGGCGGAAUGUGUAGUGUAGCGGUGAAAUGCUUAGAUAUUACACAGAACACCGAUAGCGAAGGCAGCUUACUAAACUGAGAUUGACGCUCAUGCACGAAAGCGUGGGGAGCGAACAGGAUUAGAUACCCUGGUAGUCCACGCUGUAAACUAUGAUUACUCGUUCUCGGCGAUAUACGGUCGGGGACUAAGCGAAAAGUGAUAAGUAAUCCAACCUGGGGAGUACGAUCGCAAGAUUG
rnacentral:rRNA from 1 species